rnacentral:lncRNA from 1 species
UUAUACUUCGUAGCGCAACCUGCUUUGUGCUCUCCCCUUCACAGCUUUCCAUUCAGAAUACUUUUAUGGACAUUAGUUUUAAUCUUUUGGUUAAUUCUUUGGACACUUGGCUUCUUUUCUAUACAUUUAAAAUUGUCUGCUAUUUUCUUGUUGUUCUUUUUUAAUAAUAUAUAAUGUAUGCCUUGAGCAGCAUUUGGCAGAGAAAAUCGAGAAAAG